UACGUAGGGGGCAAGCGUUGUCCGGAUUUAUUGGGCUUAAAGGGUGCGUAGGCGGUUUCCUAAGUCAGUUGUGAAAUUCGGCAGCUUAACUGUCGAGGUGCAAUUGAUACUGGGAAACUUGAGUACUGAUGAGGUAUGCGGAAUGGACGGUGUAGCGGUGAAAUGCUUAGAUAUCGUCCAGAACACCGAUAGCGAAGGCAGCAUACUAAGGAGUAACUGACGCUGAGGCACGAAAGUGUGGGGAUCAAACAGG
rnacentral:rRNA from 1 species